GCCCCAAGCUGUACUCACCCAGCAGCAGCAGCUUGAGCUCCCGGCGGGCGUCCCGCUUGUCCCUGCGGAGCUGCCGCUCGAUCUCGUCGUUGAUCCGCCGGGCUUCCUUGGCCUCCUCGCUCAGGCAGCACGCCAUGAUGGACUCCAGAGUCAUUCUUCCAAAGUGCCUCCGCUGCAGCCCCGCUGGCACCCCCUGCUCACACGCGCGCACACACACCCUCCCGCCCUCGCUCCCCCGAGGCAGCGGUGGCCGCUG
rnacentral:lncRNA from 1 species